GGUAGAGAAACAAACCAAAUUUUGACCACAAUCUAAGCCCCGAAUCGCGAAGCUCAUGAAGAGAAAAGUGUUGUACGUCGCGUUGCCUUCAAUUUGAGCUAAAGAUCAGCCAAGAAGGAGAGGGUGGAAGUAGUUGCUGCAUACUUAAGGUAACGACGUGACAUUGAGGGAGAGCAAGUGAACGAUAACAUAGCUAAACGACAAAGGUAGACAGGGAGACGAUCUUGAUCCAGGUGCAUAGGAGUUAGCGGCUGAUUUGAGAGCACUCCAUUGUUCGGAGGUGCUUAUGGUUAUUCUGUUGUGCAUAUCUAUGUAUAUUUUGGGCAUGACAGAGUUUUGUUCCGCCUAUAUGUAUAGUACUUUAGUAGAGGCUCAUAGGUGCGCAGUGUGGGUAGUAUGGUCUCACAGUUUUUACGUAUAUGCAUACUACUAUUUUGAUAGCCUAAGGGCUUAUGUUUAUAAAAGUACGAUUUCUAGCAUGAAUUGUAUAUGAAUUCGAUAAAGAAGAGUAUAAUGAGUAUAGUGAGCAGUAUAA